GCUUUAUGAUGAUAUAAAGGCAAAUGUGACUCCAUUGGCUGGACUGCACCCUCACCCAUCCCUGAUACUGGUCUGUAAUCUUGGCAGGCAGUGCAGAGUUGUGUGUGUUUGCUGUAAGGGCAGACCGACAGGAAGCCCCAUUUUCCAUUUCAUUCCUGGUGGGAUAUAUCCCAGCCCCUAGCAAGUGGUCCUAGGAGCUGGGCAGGGGAUGGGGACAGGGUGAACUUAGCAUCUCUGGGUCCUGGGUCACAGGGUGUAGCCCAAAUUAUGGCUGGUGAGGCAUGAGCACAGUUCUUUGGUAAUCUGAUGGCU
ensembl:snoRNA